rnacentral:rRNA from 1 species
AGUGAACGCUGGCGGUAGGCCUAACACAUGCAAGUCGAACGGCAGCACAGUAAGAGCUUGCUCUUACGGGUGGCGAGUGGCGGACGGGUGAGGAAUACAUCGGAAUCUACUUUUUCGUGGGGGAUAACGUAGGGACACUUACGCUAAUACCGCAUACGACCUACGGGUGAAAGCAGGGGAUCUUCGCACCUUGCGCGAUUGAAUGAGCCGAUGUCGGAUUAGCUAGUUGGCGGGGUAAAGGCCCACCAAGGCGACGAUCCGUAGCUGGUCUGAGAGGAUGAUCAGCCACACUGGAACUGAGACACGGUCCAGACUCCUACGGGAGGCAGCAGUGGGGAAUAUUGGACAAUGGGCGCAAGCCUGAUCCAGCCAUACCGCGUGAGUGAAGAAGGCCUUCGGGUUGUAAAGCCCUUUUGUUGGGAAAGAAAAGCAGCAGGUUAAUACCCCGCUGUUCUGACGGUACCCAAAGAAUAAGCACCGGCUAACUUCGUG